rnacentral:rRNA from 1 species
UACGGGAGGCAGCAGUGGGGAAUAUUGCACAAUGGGCGCAAGCCUGAUGCAGCCAUGCCGCGUGUAUGAAAAAGGCCUUCGGGUUGUAAAGUACUUUCAGUCGUGAGGAAGGUGUUAAGGUUAAUAACCUUAGCAAUUGACGUUAGCGACAGAAGAAGCACCGGCUAACUCCGUGCCAGCAGCCGCGGUAAUACGGAGGGUGCGAGCGUUAAUCGGAAUUACUGGGCGUAAAGGGCACGCAGGCGGUUAAUUAAGUUGGAUGUGAAAUCCCCGGGCUUAACCUGGGAAUGGCAUUCAAGACUGGUUAGCUAGAGUCUUGUAGAGGGGGUAGAAUUCCAUGUGUAGCGGUGAAAUGCGUAGAGAUGUGGAGGAAUACCGGUGGCGAAGGCGGCCCCGUGGACAAAGACUGACGCUCAUGUGCGAAAGCGUGGGGAGCAAACAGGGAUUAGAUACCC